UACGAAGGGUGCAAGCGUUACUCGGAAUUACUGGGCGUAAAGCGUGCGUAGGUGGUUGUUUAAGUCUGUUGUGAAAGCCCUGGGCUCAACCUGGGAACUGCAGUGGAAACUGGACAACUAGAGUGUGGUAGAGGGUAGCGGAAUUCCCGGUGUAGCAGUGAAAUGCGUAGAGAUCGGGAGGAACAUCCAUGGCGAAGGCAGCUACCUGGACCAACACUGACACUGAGGUGCGAAAGCCAGGGGAGCGAACGGG
rnacentral:rRNA from 1 species